UUAAUGAAGAUGAACCAGAAGAG
rnacentral:piRNA from 1 species